ACGCUGGCGGUAGGCUUAACACAUGCAAGUCGAGCGAGAAAGUAUCUUCGGAUAUGAGUAGAGCGGCGGACGGGUGAGUAACGCGUAGGAAUCUACCUAGUAGAAGGGGAUAGCCCGGGGAAACUCGGAUUAAUACCGUAUACCUCCUCAGGGAGAAAGAGGGCCUCUCUUGAAGCUCUCGCUAUUAGAUGAGCCUGCGUAAGAUUAGCUUGUUGGUGAGGUAAUGGCUUACCAAGGCUACGAUCUUUAGCUGGUCUGAGAGGACGAUCAGCCACAUUGGGACUGAGACACGGCCCAGACUCCUACGGGAGGCAGCAGUGGGGAAUAUUGGACAAUGGGCGCAAGCCUGAUCCAGCCAUACCGCGUGUGUGAAGAAGGCCUUCGGGUUGUAAAGCACUUUAAGCAGGGAGAAAAAGCAAUAAGUUAAUACCUUAUUGCCGUGAUGUUACCUGCAGAAUAAGCACCGGCUAAUUCCGUGCCAGCAGCCGCGGUAAUACGGAAGGUGCAAGCGUUAAUCGGAAUUACUGGGCGUAAAGCGCGCGUAGGUGGUUUGUUAAGUUGGAUGUGAAAGCCCUGGGCUCAACCUAGGAACUGCAUCCAAAACUAACUCACUAGAGUACGAUAGAGGGAGGUAGAAUUCAUAGUGUAGCGGUGGAAUGCGUAGAUAUUAUGAAGAAUACCAGUGGCGAAGGCGGCCUCCUGGAUCUGUACUGACACUAAGGUGCGAAAGCGUGGGUAGCGAACAGGAUUAGAUACCCUGGUAGUCCACGCCGUAAACGAUGACAACUAGCUGUUGGGAGACAAUGUCUUUCAGUGGCGCAGCUAACGUUUUAAGUUGUCCGCCUGGGGAG
rnacentral:rRNA from 1 species